rnacentral:misc_RNA from 1 species
AAAUAGCAACUCUAUUGCGCUUAUAAAUGUUAUAAUUAAACACAACACAUGACCAAAUAUUGUCAAAAAAGAACAUCUAUUCAGUAUUGAGUAUGCCUACUUAGCCCUGCAGGCUCAAUAAGUUGCAAGCUACAAAAAAUUCAAUAUCCAGACGACACAUCAAAUCGUGCUACCAAAAUUUUAAACCCACUCGAUCAGGGCAUCUUUUUCUUGAACUCGAAAGCUUUAACUGAACGGGCUGGCUCGUUCUUAGACCAGAUUAUAAGUCGACCCCACUGUUCACACUUUCGAGCUAGUAUUACUAUGUGCAUGUGCAUGUGCAUGUCAGGCAGCUCUCUCUCGGCUACAAUGGGAUCAAGCCUAACAACAAUGUUGUCGUUUCAUCGAUGAGCAUAGAUUAGCAAGUCUGCCUUGCAACAAAGCUCAACCGGACACUACUGCCAAUCACUCAACUGCACUACUCUUCUGUAGUAAUGAUUCCAGGAAUGUGGAACACAAUUUAGCAAGAGGAGGAAGAUUGUGAGAUGGUCCACUGAAUAGCGUCUCCCAAUAUCUUUCUGAUGGUACUGAUGUGAUCGAUGCAGCUUGUUUUCUCUCUAAGCUAAAGUCUGGUAGGUCCCCGUACAGAGAUGCAUAUCCGAACUUCCCUGUUUCCUCAAGAUCAG